CCAGCUGGUAGAGGUCAGUCUCACUCCAGCCUAAGAGUGAGAAGGGUCUAUCUUCCUGGGAGAACAGGGUACCUGAGGCAGACCAGUGGUGGGGAGUUCCAGCCUGGCAACUCCCCAGGCUGAGGCUUUGUCUAAGGCCUAAAGAGGUGCAGACAAAAUGUUCCAUUGUAAAGAGAGGACAUGGCUGCAAUAAGACAAAAGAUCUGCCAAAAGAGACCGGCAUGGGCUUGUUCCUGUUCCAUGUGGUGAUGGCAAUGGAUUUCAAUGGGUGUUUUUAGUGGCUCCCAUAUACUAUGGGGUUUCCAAGAUGAUGGAUAGAAUGUAUGGAUUCAAGUCCUGAGACCAUCUCAGAGGACAAAGCAACAAAAUGUUGAGCUUUGAAUGCAGGCAGCUGUGGGAAGUCAGGGUUUUUACAAACCACAAGAAUAGCUUUGCAUCUAAGGCCAGGUCUACACUUCAAACUUUUGCCGGCAUAGUAAUGUUGGGUUAGGGAUACGAUUUUUUUAUGUACAAUAUUUCCCUAUAGCACAAAGAGAUACAGGGAAAAAAGAUGCUCUACCGGCAAAAGUAUACUGGUUCCUGAACAAGAUUGAUCUGUACUGGCUAUUUUAAAAAUCAUUGCCAAGCCUUCAUGCCCUUCCCUCUGCAGGCUUUCCAAUAUCAGGGCAGCCUUAAAGCUGUGUGAGGUCCCUAUAAGGGAAAUAAUGACUCUGACAGGCAAACAGUAGGAUAUGCUUUUCUGGGUGGACAUCAAUGGGAUUGUAUUUCUGUUCAGUACAUUAAUUUUCCUGAAGAGCUACUUUUAUCACUGGAAAUCUACCACCAAAACCCCAUGCUGCCCUGUCCCCAGUCUGACACAGCACAACUUCAUUUCAACCCCAAAAUGCUUCAAUAUCAGAAAUGACAAAACAGCCGCUAAGUGUACAGUAGACAUAGAGCCGCUUUGUGUGUGUGCGCACGGACUAAUUCCUUAGGGCUCCAACUCAGCUCCUCUCAUUCAUGGCAAAAAGGAGGGUUAGACUGUGAAGGGGCGGGGGGGUCUUAUAUUUAAUUUUACACACCCACAAACUCCCUCCACUAAAUUCACACUUGAUGUAAGGGGGUGCAGUUAAAGAGAGUUGCACCCAUUUACUGAUACCAAGGUGUGAAUUUGACCUGUCUCUCUCCAAAGAUGGAUGAGUGGUAAAGCCUUCAGUGCAGUCAUGCCACACCAACCAGAAAGAUUCUAAAACAGCAAAACCGGAAGGGCGGUUAUAGUGUAAAAUGUGACUUGGUGAAUAUUUCCCCUUACACUGACUUGUCCAGAUUAAAAUAAUUCCAUCAAAACAUUAGCUUUCCCCAUGGCCGGAACUGAAAACCCCACUUAGCACCUGAACAUCCAGCUUCUUGCCAGUUAAAUAAAUAAAGACAUGAGGCUGUAUCUGGAGCUGAGCUGAGCGUUGUGGUGUUCUGCAUGAGACAGAACA